GAGCGCAAUCUUUGGUCAUUUGAGCAUUUAAAGUCCUCCGAAUUGGAAUGACACUUCGAAGAACUUGGGGGGCUAAUUGUUGGUGUCGGAUCCCGCACCAGAAGUCCGGGACCAACCAAAGAUUGCCAUGUAGACAAGAUGAAGACCCAUAAAGGAUAAAGCCCGUCGGAUCCGUGAGCCAAAGGAACAGUCGGAGUGGUUGUCAACGUAAAGAGGGUCCGAAGUGACUGCACCUCGACACAAGUCCGAAGAUGAAGUCAUGGUUAAGUUGGUCCUAAGAACAUUUGGGCCAAAAGGCGAAGCCCAUGAAGAUCAUGAUCUAUUCGAAUUCGAACGUUUAGCAUUAAAGUCAAAGAUCAAAACGGAUACAUUUAAGAGGGAAUAUUUGUACUUAAUUAUUCACUUU
rnacentral:lncRNA from 1 species